rnacentral:rRNA from 1 species
GACGAACGCUGGCGGCGUGCUUAACACAUGCAAGUCGAACGAAAAGGCCUGCUUUCCCUUGUGGCUUGCGGGUACCCCGGUGGCAAACGGGUGAGUAACACGUGUGUCUUCUGCCCCCAACUUGGGUUUAAGCCUGGGAUACUCGGUCUAAUUCCUGAUAGGACUGCAGGGUGGUGGCGGUGGUUGAAAUAGUUUUUCUAGUGGUUGGGGAUGAGCUCGCGGCCUAUCAGCUUGUUGGAGGGGAAAUGGCCUACCAAGGCGGCGACGGGUAGCCGCGCUGAGGAGGUGGACGGGCACAGUGAGACUGAGAAACGGCCCAGACUCCUACGCGAGGCAGCAGUGGGUAAGAGAGGACGAUGUGCGGAAUCCUGAAGCAGCGGCGCAGGGUGGAGGAUGACGGGCUUCGUGUUGUAAGCACCUUUCGGCCUCGUGAAAGCCUCCUGGUUGGAAGGGUAGUGACGGUAGUGGUAGAAGAAGCACCGGCUAACUACGUG